UUAUUCCUACGGGGGGCAGCAGUGAGGAAUAUUGGUCAAUGGCCGAGAGGCUGAACCAGCCAAGUCGCGUGAGGGAAGACGGCCCUACGGGUUGUAAACCUCUUUUGUCGGGGAGCAAAGCGAGUCACGUGUGACUCAUUGAGAGUACCCGAAGAAAAAGCAUCGGCUAACUCCGUGCCAGCAGCCGCGGUAAUACGGAGGAUGCGAGCGUUAUCCGGAUUUAUUGGGUUUAAAGGGAGCGUAGACGGCGUCGCAAGUCUGAAGUGAAAGCCCGUGGCUCAACCGCGGAACCGCUUUGGAAACUG
rnacentral:rRNA from 1 species